rnacentral:lncRNA from 8 species
GUGGAUAUUUACCUGCUGGUGGUGUAUUCAGGUGGCUUUUACCUGCUGGUGGUGUAUUCAGGUGGCUUUUACCUGCUGGUGGUGUAUUCAGGUGGAUAUUUACCUGCUGGUGGUGUAUUCAGGUGGCUUUUACCUGCUGGUGGUGUAUUCAGGUGGCUUUUACCUGCUGGUGGUGUAUUCAGGUGGAUAUUUACCUGCUGGUGGUGUAUUCAGGUGGCUUUUACCUGCUGGUGGUGUAUUCAGGUGGAUAUUUACCUGCUGGUGGUGUAUUCAGGUGGCUUUUACCUGCUGGUGGUGUAUUCAGGUGGAUAUUUACCUGCUGGUGGUGUAUUCAGGUGGAUAUUUACCUGCUGGUGGUGUAUUCAGGUGGAUAUUUACCUGCUGGUGGUGUAUUCAGGUGGCUUUUACCUGCUGGUGGUGUAUUCAGGUGGAUAUUUACCUGCUGGUGGUGUAUUCAGGUGGAUAUUUACCUGCUGGUGGUGUAUUCAGGUGGCUUUUACCUGCUGGUGGUGUAUUCAGGUGGAUAUUUACCUGCUGGUGGUGUAUUCAGGUGGAUAUUUACCUGCUGGUGGUGUAUUCAGGUGGAUAUUUACCUGCUGGUGGUGUAUUCAGGUGGAUAUUUACCUGCUGGUGGUGUAUUCAGGUGGAUAUUUACCUGCUGGUGGUGUAUUCAGGUGGCUUUUACCUGCUGGUGGUGUAUUCAGGUGGAUAUUUACCUGCUGGUGGUGUAUUCAGGUGGAUAUGUACCUGCUGGUGGUGUAUUCAGGUGGAUAUUUACCUGCUGGUGGUGUAUUCAGGUGGGUGUUACCUGCUGGUGGUGUAUUCAGGUGGGUGUUACCUGCUGGUGGUGUAUUCAGGUGGGUGUUACCUGCUGGUGGUGUAUUCAGGUGGGUGUUACCUGCUGGUGGUGUAUUCAGGUGGGUGUUACCUGCUGGUGGUGUAUUCAGGUGGGUGUUACCUGCUGGUGGUGUAUUCAGGUGGCUUUUACCUGUUGAACCUUACCCCAAGAGAGAAGUCACUCCAUUCGGCACUCUGAUCUACACUCUUUCUAUCACAUUGGACUUUGUGCACAAUAUACUAGUACAUUUGUCUGAGACAGUGAAUCCGACCUAA